GAGAAAUCCACUGAAGUAUCUACAACCAUUGAAUACAGCUCUAAGAUCAGAGAGUUCAGCAAGCUUCCACCCAAGGUUCAGGUAUCACUGACAACAUUCAUUCCAAAACCAAUAGACCGUGAGAAGCUGUGUAGUUUGUUUGGACAGAUUACCCCACUAUCUACUGCUACAGAAGAAAAUGUCUUGUCACUAAACCAACCAAACACUUCAGUCAGAGAACUACUGGAUGAACCAGAGCUUGUUGCCACAAUACAGACUGGGCAUGAAAAUCUACGAAGUGUUGUCUGUCUAAAUGAUGGUAGUAUAUGGACGAGUGGAAUAACCAAUGAUAUCAAAUGCUUCAACAGUAAAGGUUCACUCCUCCAGACAAUCCAGAAAAAAUCAGGUACAUUCCCCAAUGAUAUAGCUGUAGACAGUGAUGGGGAUCUACUGUAUACUAGUGGGGCAACACGGACAGUGUAUAAAGUAAAGAGUGACCAGACAGAAGUGUUGAUCAGAUUUGAGGGAUGGGUUCCUAGUCAGCUAUUUGUCACCUCUACUGGUGAUCUCCUAGUUACCAUGUUCAGUGAUGAUAAAACUCAAUCCAAAGUUGUACGUAACUCGGGAUCUACAGAGAAACAAACCAUUCAAUUUGAUAAUGAAGGUACACAUUUGUACUCGGGGAAUACUUAUACUAAAUACAUCACAGAGAACAGAAACCAUGACAUCUGUGUAGCUGACAAUGAGGCUGGUGCAGUAGUGGUGGUUAAUCAGGACAGGAAACUCAGAUGGAGAUACACCGGUCAUCCCUCAGUUGCCAAGAACAAACCAUUCAAACCCCGGGGUAUCACAACAGACAGUCAGAGUCGUAUCCUGACAGCAGACAGCGACAACCAUUGUAUCCACAUUCUGGAUCAGAAUGGACAGUUUCUCCGUGUCAUUGAUAACUGUGAUCUGGAGUAUCCUUGCGGUUUAUGUGUGGACAAUGAUGACAAUCUGUUUGUGUGUGAGGUAUACAAAGGCAGUGUAAAGAAAAUCAAGUAUCUAAAGUAAACAUCAUCAAUCGUAAAAUGUGAUGUAAAUCAAACAAAAGUGGCCUUUUUCUGUGUCUAUUGAAUUUCAAUGUUGGCAUUUACCAAAAAAUAUAUUAAAACUUCAGUACUUUACUUUUCUUAUACAUAUGAAUUUAUAACUUCUAAUCAUUAAUAAGUUUAUUUUCAUUAAAAAAAA
rnacentral:misc_RNA from 1 species